rnacentral:rRNA from 1 species
AUGAACGCUGGCGGCGUGCCUAAUACAUGCAAGUCGAGCGAACGGACGAGAAGCUUGCUUCUCUGAUGUUAGCGGCGGACGGGUGAGUAACACGUGGAUAACCUACCUAUAAGACUGGGAUAACUUCGGGAAACCGGAGCUAAUACCGGAUGAUAUUUUGAACCGCAUGGUUCAAAAGUGAAAGACGGUCUUGCUGUCACUUAUAGAUGGAUCCGCGCUGCAUUAGCUAGUUGGUAAGGUAACGGCUUACCAAGGCAACGAUGCAUAGCCGACCUGAGAGGGUGAUCGGCCACACUGGAACUGAGACACGGUCCAGACUCCUACGGGAGGCAGCAGUAGGGAAUCUUCCGCAAUGGGCGAAAGCCUGACGGAGCAACGCCGCGUGAGUGAUGAAGGUCUUCGGAUCGUAAAACUCUGUUAUUAGGGAAGAACAUAUGUGUAAGUAACUGUGCACAUCUUGGCGGUACCUAAUCAGAAAGCCACGGCUAACUACGUG